rnacentral:rRNA from 1 species
CGUAGGGUGCGAGCGUUAAUCGGAAUUACUGGGCGUAAAGUGUGCGCAGGUGGCCGCGCAAGUCGAGUGUGAAAUCCCCGAGCUUAACUUGGGAAUUGCGCUCGAAACUACGUGGCUCGAGUGUGGCAGAGGAAGGUGGAAUUCCACGUGUAGCGGUGAAAUGCGUAGAGAUGUGGAGGAACACCGAUGGCGAAGGCAGCCUUCUGGGCCAACACUGACGCUCAUGCACGAAAGCGUGGGGAGCAAACAGGAUUAGAUACCCUGGUAGUCCACGCCCUAAACGAUGAUGACUAGUUGUUGGGGGAGUUAAAUCCCUUAGUAACGCAGCUAACGCGUGAAGUCAUCCGCCUGGGGAUACGGUCGCAAGAUUA